CAAUAGCGUAUAUUUAAGUUGUUGCAGUUAAAAAGCUCGUAGUUGGAUUUCGGAUGGGAUUUGCCGGUCCGUCGUUACGAUGUGCACUGGCCAGUCCUAUCUUGUUGUCGGGGACUAGCUCCUUGGAUUCACUUCCUGGGACUAGGAGCUGACGAGGUUACUUUGAGUAAGUUAGAGUGUUCAAAGCAAGCCUACGCUCUGAAUACAUUAGCAUGGAAUAACACGAUAGGACUCUGGCUUAUCUUGUUGGUCUGUGAGACCAGAGUAAUGAUUAAGAGGGACAGUCGGGGACAUUCGUAUUUCAUUGUCAGAGGUGAAAUUCUUGGAUUUAUGAAAGACGAACUUCUGCGAAAGCAUUUGUCAAGGAUGUUUUCAUUAA
rnacentral:rRNA from 1 species